CUGAAGUGCCGCAACCUCUGCCUCCCGGGUUCAAGCGAUUCUCCUGCCUCAUCCUCUCGAGUAGCUGGGAUUACAGGCAUGUGCCACCAUGCCCAUCAGGCUAGUCUUGAACUCCUGACCUCAGGUGAUCUGCCUGCCUCGGCCUCCCAAAGGGCUGGGAUUACAGGCGUGAGCCACCGUGCCCGGCCUAGAUUUUCUUACGUUGUAGUGGCAGGUCACUUGUUCAACGUGUAAGUAGUUUUUACUCUUAGGGACCACCAGAUUUCCAGAAGUUACUUUUCUUUGAAAUUUGUGAUGUUGAGAUUCAGUCUUCCUUACUCUUCAGAGUUUAGUAUAACCAUCUCUUGGUUAAUUUAUAGCAGUAUAAUGGCUGGGAAGGGGAUAUUUAGAAUCAAAGCAUAGUUUUCCCAAAUAAAUCAGAUUUGAUCUUGCAGUGAAUUAAAAGAUUUACAACGGACUGACUUUCUCAGUUGAAGCUUUAAGUGAAUAUUAACGUGAGUAUCCCUGAGCACAUUAUAGUUGAUGAUGAAUUAGACUCAAUCAGUUGUCUGCUGGUAGGCAAAUAGAAACCAGCCUGGGAUUAAAAUGGUCUGAAUGAUAAUCCCUUUGUAAUAGCGUGAUCUGAUUUAUGUAAACGGGUCAAUUUUGAGGGUGCUAGGAGUCAGGCUGGCUGAAGCCCUUUGGAGUCGUAGAACAUGCGAUUGGUUCUCGUCAGGCACCUUGAUGUGCCUGGUGCAUUUGGCCACCCAGGCUGUAUUGUGGGUUAUAAAUAUAUUUUGGAUUUCUGGGCCCCAAUGUAAUCGACUUCCUUUUGGCUAAGCCAAGGGGAGAGUCAUCUAGUCAGCAUGUAGCUGCAUGCUGGCAGCUGGGCCUCUCGUGCCGGACUUGUUAUGGGAGUUCAGCAGGCCGUUGGUCUUUUGUAACCUACGGGAAUCCACACUCAUUUCCCUUACUCGGGGUUAGGUCUUGCAUUAGUCAGGAAGGGCCGCCUGCUGCCAGGGUUGCAGGAAGUACGGUACCUUCUUGUAGUUUCUGGAGCCUUUCUCAGGAAGUGUUAUGACUGUUGCUUUUUCUCAUCAGUUCACUUUUUUACAUUUAAAUAUUUGUGACUGAGGGGGUAGGGUGAGUUGUUCUCAAAAAGUAGUUUCUGAAAAUAUUGCAAUCCAGAGAGCUCAGUUUCUUUUAAAAACUUCUUUUUUCAUGGUUUUGUACAGAUUUGGAUGGGCUCCAGGCCACAGAGUCUGCACCGUGAGUGUUACCUUAACGGUUAAAGAAGGGCCCCUGGACCUUCAGACCACGCCUCUGAGGGACACAGAGUUACCGACCUGUGUUCCGUAUGGAGAGCGCAACUCCUGCCCUGUUCAGAGGGGACAGUCCUCCAGCUUUACCGUACUCUUUCAUCAUCAAAGUCCCACAUACUCUGUUUUGAAAAAACCCAAAGAAGUUGGCCUGUUACAUGUGUCCCAUUGGUAGUGGGUGACAGUAAGUACCGCAGCUCUAGGGGGAAACACGUGUUCUGUGACACCGGGAGAAGAUGUGGAAGGGACGUCUAAAGGUGCAGUGUAGACCACGGUGUGAUUCCCUAGUGUUUGCCUGUCUUCAGUGGCAUCCCUUCUCUGAGAAGCGGGAGCUCGGUAGGGCCUCCAGGCACUGUUGACAUGCGCUGAGGAGAAAGGCGAGGGGUGCCAGUGUUUUCCAUGAAGCAGAGCACGCGCAGCUGCAGAACGGCGAAGUGGAAAACCGUCUCCCCACAAAGGGGAGAAAUGCCUUCUGUUUUCCCCAGGUUUCUUUCUUUUUUUUUUUUUCUGAGAUGGAGUCUUGCUCUGUCGCCCAGGCUGGAGUGCAGUGGCGCAAUCUCGGCUCACUGCAACCUCCACCUCCCUGCCUCAGCCUCCCGAGUAGCUGGGAUUACAGGCAUGUGCCACCAUGCCCGGCUAAUUUUGUAUUUUUAGUAGAGAUGGGGUUUCUCCAUGUUGGUCAGGCUGGUCUUGAACUCCCAACCUCAGGUGAUAUGCCCGCCUUGGCCUCCCAAAGUGUUGGGAUUACAGGUGUGAGCCAUCGUGCCCAGCCUUUUUUUUUUUUUUUUUUUUUUUUUUUGAGGUGGAGUCUCACUCUGUCGCCCAGGCUGGAGUGCAGUGGCACAAUCUUGGCUCACUGCAGCUUCGAACGCCUGGGUUUAAGCAAUCUUCCUGCCUCAGCCUCCCUAGUAGCUGGAACUGCAGGUGCACGCCACCAUGCCUAGCUUUUAAUUUUUCUGGAGAGGGGGUUUCUCUAUGUUGCCCAAGUUGGUCUCGAUCUCCUGGCCUCAAGUGAUCCUCCUGCCUCGGCCUCCUAAAGCACUGAGAUUAUAGGCACAUGCUACCGUGCCUGGCCAUUCAGUUUUUUUCAGUGACACCAGUCCAGAUGUGGUCUCCUUGGCAUAUGUUGUCAUUGUGGCGACCUGUGUAAAACACUCGGCUCCUUUCUUAUGCACCUUCCUUUUUUGGGUGUUUAAAAUUGCCACUUGAAGGUUGAGUCUCCUCCAUAAUGUAUCCAUGAAACGUAGUUGGCUUUCAGCUCCUUUUCCUCUCUAACAAAAAUAAACCUGUCAGUACACAGAUUAAACAGGAAGCCAACAUAAAAAAGCCUUCAAGAACUCUUGGCCUGAGGCCCUGGUGGAACAUUCCCAGUGAGAGCUGCCUGGUAAGGAGGAGACCUGCCUAGGAUAACCCCAGGGCCUCUGGGCUCAUCAGCCCUGUACCUGCCAAAGUGGGUCUCUGCAGGUAGGACGGAGGUGAUAGGUGAACCCUGACACCUGUGUAGGCUCUGUGUGUGUGUGUGUGUGUGUGUGUGUGUGUGUGUGUGUGUGUUUUCUCUGGACUGUUGAGGCCCUCUUGGGUUUUUCUGCUGAAAGUGGUCUUGUUCCUGUUUAUUUCUUUCUGCACUUGACCUCUAGGGUCACGAGAUCGUCCCACCUCAGCCUCUCAAGUAGCUGGGACUACAGGCACGUGCCUCCACGCCUGGCUAAUUAUUUUUUUUAUUUUUUGUAGAGACAGGGUCUUGCUAUGUUGCCUAGGCUGGUCCGGAGCUCCUGGUGUCAAGCGAUUCUCCUGCCUUAGACUCCAGAGUGCUGGGAUUACAGGUGUGAGCCACUUCACCCAGCCCAGUUUCUUCUGCUUACGUCCCUUCACACUUCCUGCCUGAAACAUCCUCCCCCGCUCCCUUUUUUUUUUUUUUUUGAGACGGAGUCUCGCUCUGUCGCCCAGGCUGGAGUGCAGUGGCGCAAUCUCGGCUCACUGCAAGCUCCGCCUCCCACAUUCAUGCCAUUCUCCUGCCUCAGCCUCUCUGAGUAGCUGGGACUACAGGUGCCCGCCACCACGCCCGGCUAAUUUUUUUGCAUUUUUAGUAGAGACGGGGUUUCACCGUGGUCUCGAUCUCCUGACCUCAUGAUCCGCCCGCCUCGGCCUCCCAAAGUGCUGGGAUUACAGGCGUGAGCCACCACGCCCGGCCUCUGCAUUCCUUGUUUGAAUCCUACCAGAUUUUUGAGGCCACUGGAGGAGAAUGCUGCAGAACCUUCCCAGUAGCCCAGGCAUCACCAGCUCCCCUUUUUGAUGCCUUGAAGCACAUGCACUGUCUAUUUGGACACUGAUUUAAUUUUAGCGUCUUUUCUUGUGUUCUUAGAUGAUGUCAGGUGUCUAAGUCUGUGAGGCUACCAAGGUUGUGGGAGGCAGAGACUGCCUGGUUCUUCAUUUGUACCCUCCAUGAUGGAGUGUCGCUCUGUUGCCCAGGCUGGAGUGCAGUGGCAGGAUCUCAGCUCACUGCAACCUCCGCCUCCCAGUUCCAGUUCAAGUGAUUCUUCUGCCUCAGCCUCCUGAGUAGCUGGGACUACAGGUGUGUGCACCACCAUGCCCGGCUAAUUUUUGUAUUUUUAGAGAGACAGGGUUUCACCAUAUUGGCCAGGCCGUUCUUGAACUCCUAACCUCAUGAUCUGCCUGCCUUGGCCUCUGAAAGUGCUGAGAUUACAAGCAUGAGCCACCACGGCCACCACGCCUGACCCAAUAUUUGUAUUUUUAGUAGAGGCGGGGUUUCACCGUGUUGGCCAGGCUAGUCUUGGACUCCUGACCUCAGGUGAUCCACCUGCCUCGGCCUCCCAAAGUGCUAGAAUUAUAGGCGUGAGCCACCGCACCCGGCCCCCUUUUUUUUGAGACGAAGUCUCUCUCUGUCACUCAGGCAGGCAUGCAGUGGUGCGAUCUUGGCUAACUGCAACCUCCGCCUCCUGGGUUCAAGCAAUUCUCCUGCUUCAGCCUCCCAAGUAGCUGGGAUUACAGGCAUGUGCCACCACACCCAGCUAAUUUUUUUGUGUUUUUAGUAGAGACGGGGUUUCACCAUAUUGGCCAGGCUGGUUUCAAACUCCUGACCUCAAGUUUUCUGCCUGCCUUGGCCUCCCAAAGUGCUAGGAUUAUAGGCAUGAGCCACCAUGCUGGGCUGUGGCUCUCAGCUUCUUUGAAGGCCGUGUGUGGACUGACCACAUGACCUGGAGCAGUACAGGUGGCACCUGAUUUUUGGAUGAUCUGAGAGAUGGCAGAAGUGCUGUGAGACAGGGGAGACAUUGGUUUUAUUCUGCUGUUGCCUGUUCCCCCGCCCCCCCGACAGACCAUGUUUCAUUAGUGAAUAUGAGACUCUAGGCCCCUUGGGGCCUCGGGUUGAUGGGUCGCUGUGCACCUUUCCCAUUGUCCGGUGGUUUCUGCUGCCCUGAAGUGUCCUUCACUCUCCUCUCUUGAGCUUUGCAGGAGGGUGGCCCAGGAUUUGGGAAACCCAGGCAGCAAACCCUGCGUUACACAUCUAGGCCCUUCAUCUGCAAGCUGAUGCCUGUGAGUGUUAUCACCCCCUCUAGAGACAGUAGGGGAGAACAGCUGUUUCCCACCUCUGCACUGGGUGGCCACGGCCAGUCGAAGACUUCCAGGAUCCACAGAGCCAGCACCUGCUGUUGACUAAGGUUUUCUUGGCAGUGAAUCGGCAGUGACAGACCGGUGGGCUUUCUGGGAAGCGCAGCUGUGGGCCAUCUGGUGUCUGUGCAGGGACAUUUACGAAGCCUGGGAAGAUUGAGGGCUUUGUCAUGAAGCAAGUUUUUAGUCAUUGAGCAGCAGAAAUGAAGUUCUGUGGGCAGAAAUGCAUCUCCUUCAGCCUUGGCCUCAGUGGAGUGUGGAGUCCGCCAGGGGUGCAGCUUUAUGUGGUCGAGCUAACACUGGCCAGAGAUGGUGUGUGACCCCACCAAACAGGAUGUGUCUGAUGGUGAAGGUAGAGAUGGGGUUUCACCAUGUUGGCUAGGCUGAUCUCGAACUACUGACCUCAGGGUCUCGCUGUGCCACCCAGGC